rnacentral:rRNA from 1 species
UACGUAGGGGGCAAGCGUUGUCCGGAAUCAUUGGGCGUAAAGAGCGCGUAGGCGAUCCGGUAAGUCCGCUCUGAAAGUCCGGGGCUCAACCCCGGGAGGCGGGCGGAUACUGUCGGGCUAGAGUCCGGAAGAGGCGAGUGGAAUUCCUGGUGUAGCGGUGAAAUGCGCAGAUAUCAGGAGGAACACCAAUGGCGAAGGCAGCUCGCUGGGACGGUACUGACGCUGAGGCGCGAAAGCGUGGGGAGCAAACAGG